rnacentral:rRNA from 1 species
GAGUUUGAUCCUGGCUCAGGGUGAACGCUGGCGGCGCGCUUAUUGCAUGCAAGUCGAGCGUGAUCGUGGCUUCGGCCACAAUGAUAAAGCGGCAGACGGCUGAGUAACGCGUGAGUAAUCUGCCCUCCGGUGGGGUAUAACCUCGGGAAACUGAGGAUAAUCCCGCAUACGACCUGCAUCCCUUGGGGUGUAGAUGAAAGGCUUCGGUCGCCGGAGGAGGAGCUCGCGUCCUAUCAGGUUGUUGGUGAGGUAAUGGCUCACCAAGCCGAUGACGGGUAGCUGGUCUGAGAGGAUGACCAGCCAGAGGGGGACUGAGAACGGCCCCCACUCCUACGGGAGGCAGCAGCAGGGAAUCUUGGGCAAUGGGCGAAAGCCUGACCCAGCGACGUCGCGUGGGGGACGAAGGCCUUCGGGUUGUAAACCCCUUUUCCGAGGGAAGAGAAAGGACGGUACCUCGGGAAUAAGCCCCGGCUAACUACGUGCCAGCAGCCGCGGUAAUACGUAGGGGGCAAGCGUUACCCGGAAUCACUGGGCGUAAAGUGCGCGUAGGCGGUUGGAUAAGUCUCUUGUGAAAGCUCCCGGCUCAACUGGGAGAGGUCAAGGGAUACUAUUUGACUAGAGGACAGCAGAGGUAAGCAGAAUUCCCGGUGUAGCGGUGGAAUGCGUAGAUAUCGGGAGGAACACCAGUGGCGAAAGCGGCUUACUGGGCUGUGUCUGACGCUGAGGCGCGAGAGGCGUGGGGAGCAAACUGGAUUAGAGACCCUGGUGUCAGGGGCGAGG